ensembl:lncRNA
AAAUAUAUUUUUGGUUCUUUUGAGACAAUCAUACAACUACUAAUGAGCUCUACGGUAGCCAGGACGGACAAUGCACCCCUCAGCUUCUGAGACAUCUUCAGACAACAUCUCCACUGAACCAAGGGGCACCUCCGGUAUGAGGAGGAUUUGUUUCCAACUGGCUGAUCAAACAGCGAUGAGAGACGCAUGCCGGGAAAGUUAUUACUUGUGUUUGUGUGGAUUGGAGCAGAGACUUGCUGUUGGCACAAACCCUGGCGAGAACACGAGUGGAGGAGGACAACCAGAGCCGUGCCGAGGAGGCAGAAAGCCCUCACAAGCCCGUUUCCUGGCUCGGGUAAUCCGCUACUUCCUUUUGCAACUGUUGUGCAGCUCCUGCUUGGCUCCAAGUGCCUCUGGGAAAUUAUCUUACCGAGAGAGAGCAGUGUGCUGGUGAACGGGGGUCGUGGGGGCCUCUGGAGGUGGUGAAACAUCGGCGAGGCUCUUCUCGUGUCUCUUUCUGGCUGCUCGCCCCUGAAAGGCGCCGUGGGAGCGAGUGGAGCCGGGGCGGAUGGAGAGAUUUGCGCUUUCUGCUCGGGGCAAUGAAGUGUCGAUCACUUACAGCGCAGCGCGGGGAGGGCAGGAUCUCCGGCGGCUGCAGCUACUCCUCCUCGAUCAGCCCCCAAAGCCAAGUGGGUAAAGGUGUCCUCUUC